rnacentral:rRNA from 1 species
AUUGAACGCUGGCGGCAGGCUUAACACAUGCAAGUCGAGCGGGGGAAGGUAGCUUGCUACCGGACCUAGCGGCGGACGGGUGAGUAAUGCUUAGGAAUCUGCCUAUUAGUGGGGGACAACAUCUCGAAAGGGAUGCUAAUACCGCAUACGUCCUACGGGAGAAAGCAGGGGAUCUUCGGACCUUGCGCUAAUAGAUGAGCCUAAGUCGGAUUAGCUAGUGGGUGGGGUAAAGGCCUACCAAGGCGACGAUCUGUAGCGGGCCUGAGAGGAUGGUCCGCCACACUGGGACUGAGACACGGCCCAGACUCCUACGGGAGGCAGCAGUGGGGAAUAUUGGACAAUGGGGGGAACCCUGAGCCAGCCAGGCCGCGUGUGUGAAGAAGGCCUUAUGGUUGUAAAGCACUUUAGGCGAGGAGGAGGCUACUCUAGUUAAUACCUAGGGAUAGUGGACGUUACUCGCAGAAUAAGCACCGGCUAACUCUGUGCCAGCCGCCGCGGUAAUAC